rnacentral:hammerhead_ribozyme from 1 species
AUCCAUCUGAAGAGUCCCAAGUGGGAUGAAACGUGUGUCCUAGAU